CGACUUUAUAAGUCGUGAGGGUUCAAGUCCCUCUAUCCCCA
rnacentral:tRNA from 7 species